rnacentral:lncRNA from 1 species
UGGGACCUAAGUGGAAUCUCUCAUCCAUCUUCCUGCUGUGAAGGUUAUGAAAGCACCAAUUCUUAGUCUGAGAAGCUGCCUGCCUGGCACGGUCAUCUCUAAUGACUUUGGAGGCUCUUCAGUUUUCAUGGACACCUAAUUAGGCAGUUAUUUACAUUUAAUUUUACUUAUUCUUGUGACUCCCUUCUAACCAGCACACUAAUGAAGUUCUUCUGUGACAUCACAAUGCUCCAACUGAUGAAAGCCUGGGCACUGAUGUCUACGAAAAGGACUGACGAUGGCAGGAUUGGUG